rnacentral:rRNA from 1 species
GAGUUUGAUCAUGGCUCAGGAUGAACGCUGGCGGCGUGGCCUAACACAUGCAAGUCGAGCGAUCUUCUUCGGAAGAGAGCGGCGGACGGGUGAGUAACGCGUGGGUAACCUGCCUCAUACACAUGGAUAACAUACCGAAGGUAUGCUAAUACAAGAUGAUAUAAGAGAUUCGCAUGGAUUCUUAUCAAAGCUCCGGCGGUAUGAGAUGGACCCGCGUCUGAUUAGCUAGUUGGUAAGGUAACGGCUUACCAAGGCGACGAUCAGUAGCCGACCUGAGAGGGUGAUCGGCCACAUUGGAACUGAGACACGGUCCAAACUCCUACGGGAGGCGGCAGUGGGGAAUAUUGCACAAUGGGCGAAAGCCUGAUGCAGCAACGCCGCGUGAGCGAUGAAGGCCUUCGGGUCGUAAAGCUCUGUCCUCAAGGAAGAUAAUGACGGUACUUGAGGAGGAAGCCCCGGCUAACUACGUG